rnacentral:rRNA from 1 species
GACGAACGCUGGCGGCGUGCUUAACACAUGCAAGUCGAACGGAAAGGCCCUGCUUUUGUGGGGUGCUCGAGUGGCGAACGGGUGAGUAACACGUGAGUAACCUGCCCUUGACUUUGGGAUAACUUCAGGAAACUGGGGCUACUACCGGAUAGGAGCUCCUGCUGCAUUGUGGGGGUUGGAACGUUUCGGCGGUUGGGGAUGGACUCGCGGCUUAUCAGCUUGUUGGUGGGGUAGUGGCUUACCAAGGCUUUGACGGGUAGCCGGCCUGAGAGGGUGACCGGCCACAUUGGGACUGAGAUACGGCCCAGACUCCUACGGGAGGCAGCAGUGGGGAAUAUGGCACAAUGGGCGGAAGCCUGAUGCAGCAACGCCGCGUGCGGGAUGACGGCCUUCGGGUUGUAAACCGCUUUCGCCUGUGACGAAGCGUGAGUGACGGUAAUGGGUAAAGAAGCACCGGCUAACUACGUG